CCGCGGGACCAGAAGGCAGUGACCCACCUGGACCCAGCUUUCACUGUCUUGUGUGUGUCUAUUAUUUCUCAACCUGCCGAUCCACCUAGGAGCAGAGAGAGAGCCCCGUUGCAUUGCAGGCUGCUGGCCAGAUCCCGCAAUAGCUGCUCAAACAGAAGGCAGGUUGUCUGAAUGGAGCAUGGUGAAGAGGGAAGGAAACAGACUUGGCAGUCAUUCACCUGCAGUGUCCUUGUCAAGACUCACUAAAUCCGGGAAGCAGCUAAGUGGUCCAUAAAGGGCCGUCUCUGGUAAAAGGCUGGUUUGUUCACAGGCUUCUUGUGUGGCUGGUGUGAAACAUCCCUUACUCUGUGCUCUUCCUCCAUACCCAGAAAGUGAGCCACAGAUGACCAUCUCCCAAAUACUCAGUGCAGAAAGUGGAGGUCCUUGUAGGAUGGCACGAGCAUUUUUGUUCCUGGGAAGGCAACUGGUACCUGACAAAGACUGAAAGCUAGGGAUGGAGAAGAGACUGCAGCUUGAUUGAGCAUCCAAGGACAGAGCUCUUGGCCAAACUACCUUGUGUCUUGAGGGUCCUAAGACCAAAACUUCUAGAUGGAAGACAAGGAGGAAGAAAGCAUUCCAAGUCAGGUUCCCUGGGAAAUAAGAUUUGCAUACAGGAGAUUCUUGGGGCAGUUCCCUCAAGAUGAAGACCCGGAGGUGGUGAAGAACUCUGGAGCUGAAAGAGAGAGGUGUUUAACAGUUGCCAACUCACCAAUGGCCCUGGGGAACUCUAGAACUGGGAUGGCUCUUUAUUAUUGUCCUGUUUUGAGGCAAGGGCCUUUCUUCUCAACUACAUGGACCAGUCAUUGGAGGUGGCUGCCCCAGGGAAAGGACUGUGAGUUUAGGUGAGGCAACUCUCUUCAGCUAAAAGCAAACCUUAGCAAGGCACUCAGCUGUGAAAUGUCAGCUGCUAAUAUUAUCAGCUGCUGGUGG
rnacentral:lncRNA from 1 species